GGAGGCGGCGCUGGCAAGGCCGCGCGGAGGCGGUGGCGGAGGUGUGGCGGCGCCUUUGGCACGCUUCGGGGCGCCGAUGCGCGUGCGCGGGGCGAGAGCCGCGGUCCUCUGGGGCGGUCGGAGAUGGCGGCCGCCGGGGGAGCUUCGUCCGAGCCGGCGGCUUCAGAGCAGCCGGUGGAGCUGUCUGCCGCGAUGCGGGCGAGCAUCGAGCGGAAGCGGCAGCGGGCGCUGAUGCUGCGCCAGGCCCGGCUGGCGGCCCGGCCUUAUCCGGCGACGGCGGCUGCGGCUACCGGAGGCAUGGCUAAUGUAAAAGCAGCCCCAAAGAUAAUCGACACUGGAGGAGGCUUUAUUCUGGAAGAGGAGGAGGAAGACGAACAUACAAUUGGAAAAGUUGUUCAUCAACCAGGACCUGUUAUGGAAUUUGAUUACGUUAUAUGUGAAGAAUGUGGUAAAGAAUUUAUGGAUUCUUAUCUUAUGAACCACUUUGAUUUGGCAACUUGUGAUAAUUGCAGAGAUGCUGAUGAUAAACACAAGCUUAUAACUAAAACAGAAGCAAAAGAAGAAUACCUUCUGAAAGAUUGUGAUUUAGAAAAAAGAGAACCAGCUCUUAAAUUUAUUGUGAAGAAGAAUCCUCAUCAUGCACAGUGGGGUGAUAUGAAACUCUACUUAAAAUUACAGAUUGUGAAGAGGUCUCUUGAAGUUUGGGGUAGUCAGGAAGCAUUAGAAGAAGCAAAGGAAGUUCGACAGAAAAACCGGGAAAAAAUGAAACAGAAGAAAUUUGAUAAAAAAGUCAAAGAGGUUGGUGGAUAUGUUCCUGUCCUCCUGACUAGGCCACAAAGGGCUGAGAGUGGAGUAGACACUGUAGAGAUUAGAAACAAGGAGCUUACUGUGCCCUUUGCUCAGAAGGCUCAGAACAGAGAGGAAUAAGAGCAAGCCAAAGUUUUUUAGUUGAAAAGAAAUUGGAACCUGGUUCCUCUUGGUCUUCUGAUUUUGAUCCACAAGGAAGCUGACACAAAGUUUACUUCUUUAUGGAAAGAGUUACGGCGAGCAGUAAGAAGCAGUGUAUGGAAAAAGGAAACAGUCGCUCAUCAACAUGAGUAUGGACCAGAAGAAAACCUAGAGGAUGACAUGUACCGGAAGACUUGUACUGUGUGUGGCCAUGAGCUAAC